CGUCCCAGUCCGGACUGUAGUCUGCAACCCGACUACACGAAGCUGGAAUCGCUAGUAAUCGCGAAUCAGAAUGUCGCGGUGAAUACGUUCCCGGGUCUUGUACACACCGCCCGUCACACCAUGGGAGUCGGGAAUGCCCGAAGUCAGUGACCCAACCUUUGGAGGGAGCUGCCGAAGGCAGGCCUGGUGACUGGGGUGAAGUCGUAACAAGGUAGC
rnacentral:rRNA from 1 species